GGUUAAGCGACUAAGCGUACACGGUGGAUGCCCUGGCAGUCAGAGGCGAUGAAGGGCGUGCUAAUCUGCGAUAAGCGCCGGUAAGGUGAUAUGAACCGUUAUAACCGGCGAUACCCGAAUGGGGAAACCCAGUGUGAUUCGUCACACUAUCAUUAACUGAAUCCAUAGGUUAAUGAGGCGAACCGGGGGAACUGAAACAUCUAAGUACCCCGAGGAAAAGAAAUCAACCGAGAUUCCCCCAGUAGCGGCGAGCGAACGGGGAGGAGCCCAGAGCCUGAAUCAGCAUGUGUGUUAGUGGAAGCGUCUGGAAAGGCGCGCGAUACAGGGUGACAGCCCCGUACACAAAAGCGCAUGUGCUGUGAGCUCGAUGAGUAGGGCGGGACACGUGGUAUCCUGUCUGAAUAUGGGGGGACCAUCCUCCAAGGCUAAAUACUCCUGACUGACCGAUAGUGAACCAGUACCGUGAGGGAAAGGCGAAAAGAACCCCGGCGAGGGGAGUGAAAAAGAACCUGAAACCGUGUACGUACAAGCAGUGGGAGCACCCUUCGGGGUGUGACUGCGUACCUUUUGUAUAAUGGGUCAGCGACUUAUAUUCUGUAGCAAGGUUAACCGUAUAGGGGAGCCGGAGGGAAACCGAGUCUUAACCGGGCGUUAAGUUGCAGGGUAUAGACCCGAAACCCGGUGAUCUAGCCAUGGGCAGGUUGAAGGUUGGGUAACACUAACUGGAGGACCGAACCGACUAAUGUUGAAAAAUUAGCGGAUGACCUGUGGCUGGGGGUGAAAGGCCAAUCAAACCGGGAGAUAGCUGGUUCUCCCCGAAAGCUAUUUAGGUAGCGCCUCGUGAAUUCAUCUCCGGGGGUAGAGCACUGUUUCGGCUAGGGGGCCAUCCCGGCUUACCAACCCGAUGCAAACUGCGAAUACCGGAGAAUGUUAUCACGGGAGACACACGGCGGGUGCUAACGUCCGUCGUGAAGAGGGAAACAACCCAGACCGCCAGCUAAGGUCCCAAAGUCAUGGUUAAGUGGGAAACGAUGUGGGAAGGCCCAGACAGCCAGGAUGUUGGCUUAGAAGCAGCCAUCAUUUAAAGAAAGCGUAAUAGCUCACUGGUCGAGUCGGCCUGCGCGGAAGAUGUAACGGGGCUAAACCAUGCACCGAAGCUGCGGCAGCGAACGUAUCACCCAAGACAACUUUACGGAGUUGACGAUUGACGGAGCGAAGCGACGUCAAAGCGUUCAUUAAAGUCGAGUUGGCUUAGGGAUACGUUCGUUGGGUAGGGGAGCGUUCUGUAAGCCUGUGAAGGUGUGUCGUGAGGCAUGCUGGAGGUAUCAGAAGUGCGAAUGCUGACAUAAGUAACGAUAAAGCGGGUGAAAAGCCCGCUCGCCGGAAGACCAAGGGUUCCUGUCCAACGUUAAUCGGGGCAGGGUGAGUCGACCCCUAAGGCGAGGCCGAAAGGCGUAGUCGAUGGGAAACGGGUUAAUAUUCCCGUACUUGGUGUUACUGCGAAGGGGGGACGGAGAAGGCUAUGUUGGCCGGGCGACGGUUGUCCCGGUUUAAGCGUGUAGGUGUGUGUUCCAGGUAAAUCCGGUUCACUUUAACACUGAGGCGUGACGACGAGGCACUACGGUGCUGAAGCAACAAAUGCCCUGCUUCCAGGAAAAGCCUCUAAGCAUCAGGUAACACGAAAUCGUACCCCAAACCGACACAGGUGGUCAGGUAGAGAAUACCAAGGCGCUUGAGAGAACUCGGGUGAAGGAACUAGGCAAAAUGGUGCCGUAACUUCGGGAGAAGGCACGCUGACACGUAGGUGAAGUGAUUUACUCAUGGAGCUGAAGUCAGUCGAAGAUACCAGCUGGCUGCAACUGUUUAUUAAAAACACAGCACUGUGCAAACACGAAAGUGGACGUAUACGGUGUGACGCCUGCCCGGUGCCGGAAGGUUAAUUGAUGGGGUCAGCGUAAGCGAAGCUCCUGAUCGAAGCCCCGGUAAACGGCGGCCGUAACUAUAACGGUCCUAAGGUAGCGAAAUUCCUUGUCGGGUAAGUUCCGACCUGCACGAAUGGCGUAAUGAUGGCCAGGCUGUCUCCACCCGAGACUCAGUGAAAUUGAACUCGCUGUGAAGAUGCAGUGUACCCGCGGCAAGACGGAAAGACCCCGUGAACCUUUACUAUAGCUUGACACUGAACAUUGAGCCUUGAUGUGUAGGAUAGGUGGGAGGCUUUGAAGUGUGGACGCCAGUCUGCAUGGAGCCGACCUUGAAAUACCACCCUUUAAUGUUUGAUGUUCUAACGUGGACCCGUAAUCCGGGUUGCGGACAGUGUCUGGUGGGUAGUUUGACUGGGGCGGUCUCCUCCUAAAGAGUAACGGAGGAGCACGAAGGUUGGCUAAUCCUGGUCGGACAUCAGGAGGUUAGUGCAAUGGCAUAAGCCAGCUUGACUGCGAGCGUGACGGCGCGAGCAGGUGCGAAAGCAGGUCAUAGUGAUCCGGUGGUUCUGAAUGGAAGGGCCAUCGCUCAACGGAUAAAAGGUACUCCGGGGAUAACAGGCUGAUACCGCCCAAGAGUUCAUAUCGACGGCGGUGUUUGGCACCUCGAUGUCGGCUCAUCACAUCCUGGGGCUGAAGUAGGUCCCAAGGGUAUGGCUGUUCGCCAUUUAAAGUGGUACGCGAGCUGGGUUUAGAACGUCGUGAGACAGUUCGGUCCCUAUCUGCCGUGGGCGCUGGAGAACUGAGGGGGCUGCUCCUAGUACGAGAGGACCGGAGUGGACGCAUCACUGGUGUUCGGGUUGUCAUGCCAAUGGCACUGCCCGGUAGCUAAAUGCGGAAGAGAUAAGUGCUGAAAGCAUCUAAGCACGAAACUUGCCCCGAGAUGAGUUCUCCCUGAGACUUAGAGUCUCCUGAAGGAACGUUGAAGACGACGACGUUGAUAGGCCGGGUGUGUAAGCGCAGCGAUGCGUUGAGCUAACCGGUACUAAUGAACCGUGAGGCUUAACCUU
rnacentral:rRNA from 1 species